GACGAACGCUGGCGGCGUGCUUAACACAUGCAAGUCGAACGAUGACGACCGAGCUUGCUCGGUCUGAUUGGCGGCGAACGGGUGAGUAACACGUGAGCAACCUGCCCUUCACUCUGGGAUAACCUCGGGAAAUCGGGGCUCAUACCGGCUCUGAGCUCCUCUCGCAUGGCGGGCGUUGGAACGUUCUUCGGCGCAGGAUGGGCUCGCGGCCUAUCAGUUUGUUGGUGGGGUAGUGGCCCACCAAGGCGAUGACGGGUAGCCGGCCUGCGAGGGCGACCGGCCACACGGGGACUGAGACACGGCCCAGACGGCUACGGGAGGCAGCAGUGGGGAAUAGUGCACAAUGGGCGAAAGCCUGAUGCAGCGACGCCGCGUGAGGGAUGACGGCCUUCGGGUUGUAAACCUCUUUCAGCAGGGAAGAAGCGAAAGUGACGGUGCCUGCAGAAGAAGCGCCGGCUAACUACGUG
rnacentral:rRNA from 1 species